rnacentral:rRNA from 1 species
AACGGGGGGGGCUAGUGUUAUUCAUAAUCAUUGGGCGUAAAACGCAUGUAGGUUGUUGAUUAAGUUCGGACUCUAACCUCGCGCCGCGAGAUCAAUCCGGAAACUGAUCGACUAGAGUCCCAUAGAGGGUAGUGGAAUUUCUAGUGGAGAGUUUAAAUUCAUAGAUCCUAGAAGGAAGACCAAAGGCCAAGGCAACUACCUAAGUGGAGACUGACGCUGAUGUGCGAAAGCUAGGGGAGCGAACGGG